AUUGAGGGAAGCAUUGAAAUGUUGAAGGAGGGUGUAUGGGCCUGCUUUGACUGAGAAAAAGGCUUUGGAGCUAUCAAAGUUUGGGUAUGAGGUGGAGUAGAAGAAAAGGCGAAGGAACUUAGGGCCUGGGGUGACAGGAAAUGAAUAGGUGAACAGGGAGUGAGAGAGACGAGCAUGGUCGUAAGGAGGACCCUGUGGGAUAGAUGGUAUGAGUGGAGGAAGAUCUACUGAGUUAUGGGUUGGAGAGAGGAAUUUGAUGUCUGAAGUCCAAUUCCUCGUAUCAGGGGUGGAGAAGUUGGUGGAAGAGCCACAGCUGAUGCUGAAGAGAUCAGGAGGACGAUAGAUAACAUCUGCUAUGGAAAGGCACGACAACAGAAAGAGGAGGAGGAUGGUGCCUAAAGCAGUUUGUGUGCAGCUUGUGUCCAUGGAUAUGCUAAUGGAACCACCACACAGUACCUAAACAAAGAGCUUAAACGAGAUAAAUCAACAAAUGCAUCUAAAGGGUGGUCCUCGCUAUUUUUGUAGAAGUCAGGGUAGACUUCAAGUCUUCCCAGCUAACAGAGUCUACAUUUGCCUUUUGGUUCUUCUUUUCUAUCUCCUUUUCUUUGGACUGGCUGGGCGAAAAUUUCACGGAAAAAAUAUCUGGAAUAAUUUGUAUUUUUCAUGUCGCAUAAGUUGAAAUUAAAAAGUUAACAUUAAAAUGAUAUCGUAAAUAAACCUUUUUAAAUUAUUAUUUUUUACAUAAACAUUCAAAAAAAUUAUUUUAAUUAUUUUAUGAGUUUAAUUUUGAUAUAUUAUUAAUCUAAAUAUUUUUACAUUAAUAGUUAUUUUAUCUAAUUUAAUAUAUGAAGAGAUAAAAAAAUUCCAAACUGUUUUUGGUGAACACGUUUCUGUAUAAUUCUUUACUCUUACAAUAUUUUAAUAACUUUUCUCAUAUUCGGAUUUGUUUCUUAAUCCAAAUUAUCUGUGCAAAUUUUUGGUAAAUAGACUAGUAGGCAAAGCUUUGGGAAGGAGUCACAACUGAGAGGGGUGUUCUAAAGGCAGCAAAUUUCAUAUCUGAAAUUUCAUAGAUCUUCAGCUAUGCAAACUUUAAUCCUACAAAACAAAUUUGCUUGGGUUCACAUUCCUCCAUAGAAGGGGUCAAGGUGAACUUUAUCAGCUUCAGGAGUACCUGAACAACACGUUACUCGGAUCACCAACAUCAACACCCAGAUUUCAGGGUUCUGUUGUAACUAUGCCCCGGGAGAUGGCAGCAAUGCUUUUAUGCUGCUGAAUUUUUUGGAGAACAACAUCAAUGCUUUUAUUCUAGACGUGGCUCAUGAUACUUCUCUGUUUUUGUUUCCACAGAAAAGAGCUUUAAUUGUAGGGUUGUAGCACGUAAGUGCUUCUUUUAUUCAAUAAAUUCUUUGUUACAGACAAUAAAAAAGCAAAAAUAUUUUUGACACCCUAAUUCACCCUUUAACCUAAUAAAUAUUAAUAUUUUAAUUAUUUAUAAUUUUGAAAAUUAUUUUAAUAUUUUUAUUUUAAUUAUAUUUUUAUUAAAGAAUUUUUUUUAUUUUUUUAAUUAUAAAUAUUAAUAUUUUGUAUUGAUAUAAAGUGAAGCAAGAUAUCAAAAAUAUCAAAAAAAACCAUAAGACACCGGUACCAUCUAAAUCAUCUCGUUGAGCUUGUAACAGUAAUCAACCAACGAAAUUUAACUUAACACUAGUCUACUCUUUGGAACUAAGGGGGAAGACUUGAUUCUUAGCAGGGCCAAGUCUAACCUUUCCUUUUCAUUUUUUUUUUCUUUCUUUCUUUUUAGGACCCAAUUCCGAAUAACAUUUUUUUUUUAGUUUAAAUGAUUAACAUCGGAUUCUUCCUAAAUUUUACAAAUUAAACUUAAUAUAUAUUAAUCUAGUUAAUGAACCAAUCUGAUUCAACAUGUAUAAAUCGAAUUCAAUUCAUUCAUUUACGAAUUAAAUUUUGAGUUGAAGAUCAACUCUUUUAUUUACUUUGAUAAAUCAGCUUAAACGAAAUCGAAUAUAAUAUUAUGAAACAGUUAGAAUUAGUUAAUUCAUUGUUCACUCUAUGCAGAGGGUUCACACGUGCAUUAUUUUUUAUUUCGUGUUAAAACGUAAUCACACUUCAAUAAAAUAAAACAAAAUAAAAUGUAUUAUGUCGGAAGUUGAAAAUAAUAUCUUUACACAGUGAUUGAAAAAUAAUCACACUUAAUUAAAAUAAAAUAAAAAGUAGACAUCUGUUGUUAAAAUAAGAUUGCAUUUAUGUUCCUUAAUUUUGUAUUAAAUAACAUUCAAAUUCUUUUUAAUUUUUAAAUAGAUAUUUAAUUUUUAAUAAAAUAAUAUUCACACUUCUAUAACUUUUAAAUAGAUAUUUGUCGUCAUCGUAUUAACAUUUAGAAUCAUGUGAAUAAAGUGACAUUUUUUUUAUAUAUUUUUUUAUAAAAUAGUCCUAAUUUCUAUAUUUUAAAAUUAUUAUUUUUAAUUUUCAUAGAUUUAGUCGAUACAAUAAAAGAACAAUCACGAAGAAAAAAUAAAAGAACUGCAACCCCAUAUUUUGAAGUUGCAUCUUAUAGGUAGGUGGUGAAAUAAUAAAAUUGUUUUAGAUUCAGAUUUAUAAAAUAUAUUUUAGAAUAUACAUCUGAAAUAUAUUAAUGCAUUUUAUAUUAUAUAAUUUAGAAUGUAUUUUUAAAUAUUAAAAUAUAUUUUAGAAUAUACAAUUUUAAAUAUAUUUAAAAAUAAGUUUAUUAGUCUAGAAUAAAAAGAUGUAUUUUUUAAUUAUAAAAACUAAAAUAAAAAUUGUAUUUUGGAAUAUAUAAUUCAAAAUAUAAAAUAGAUAUUCUGAAAUUUAUACUGAAAAUAACAUAAUAUAUAUUCUAAAAUACAUUUUUCUAUUACAGAAUGUAUUUUAAAAUGUAUAUUUGGAAUAAAUAUUUAUCUUCUGAAAUAGAAAUAUAAUGUAAAUAUGUAUUUUGAAAUGUAUAACUUAAAUUUCAAAAUACAUAUUUUGUAUUUUGAAUUAUUUUUUUACAUUAAUACAUAAAUUUAACUUUUUAAUAAACAACAACAAUCACGCCACCAAACAUCACACAUCCACUAAGCACCCACAGCCAUCACUAACACAAUCUUCACAUUAUAUCCAAACACUCCAACAAAAACACCCUAAUUUCCCACAACUGACAAUUUAUUUUGAAAAGAAUAAACUUGGAAUUUCCAACUUUUUAGGAGUGCAGCUUCAAAAUAUGGAGGUGCAAAAUACAAUUGCAAAAGAGGGCCAAUAUCAGCCCGGCCCAUACAACAUAAAAUAGACCGCAAAAUCAGCCCAUAAUUAACCCAACUAUGGGUAAAUGAACAAAGCUAACAUUUAAAGGUAGAAUGAGUAGAGAUGAGAGCUGUUUACACCGAGGUAAAUGAGUAAACUAAUAAUGAAACAGUUAAAAAAGAAUAUCUCCCUUUAUAACAAUGAAACACAGAAGUAGGAAUUUUGCCUUGAAGGAGGAAACCUCCUUAACCACUCCAACCUUAUUAGGAUUUCUUAUUGAGGUUUUUGCUUUCUUUAAAUUUUAAACUUGUAGAGUUAGGGUUAUGAUUGGAAAGUACUAUUAACACAUCUGUCUUUUUAUCCCUCUUGUAGUAAGAUAAAUAGUUAAACAUUUUAAUAAUUUUUUAAUUUUUUUAUCUAUUUUAAUAAUUAAUUUAUAAAAUUAUUCUAGUAAAAAAUCGACUGAGACACCUAUACAGAAAAUUGUGAUUAAAAUAUGAUUAAGGUAGAUAAAACUAAGAACAAAAUUGAUGAGUUUGACGAAAAAAGGAAAAGAGAAGCAUUGACCAGACACAUGGCAUAAUGGGUUGGUGCACUAUGAAGUUCGGACUCUUAUUUUUAAAUGGUGUAUUCGUGUCGGACACACAUAUCCAUGUUGACACUCGUAGGAUACUUAUUGGUGAAGUGUUCAAUUCAAAAAAAAAUAUUUGUUGAAUUUUUAAAAAUUCUAGCACGGUUCUAACACAAUUUUAAAAGGUAUAAAUACAAUAACUUUCUAAAAACUCAAAUUUAUUGUAUAAAUUUUUAUUAUAAUUAUAAAAAUAAGAACAAACUCUUUUGAACCAAUCAUAAAAAAUAUCUUCCUGCUCCCAAAAGAAUCUAGAACAUAUUUUUGCAUAUAAAUAUUUAUUUUCAAUUUAUAUAAUUCAAAAUUAUAUAAUAUAUAGAUUUGUGUUCCAUAUCUUAUAUUUUAAAAAUUAUACGUAUAUCUGUACAACCGUACUACAUAGUUAGUCAUGAAAAACUUUUGAAAAACUUUGUCCUGUCCAGACAAAAAAAAUCUUUCUGUUCAUCCUUAUCGUUAAAGACAAGGUUGUUGGUGCCGUGCUUCUGACACACCACAUUUUACGAAAAUGACCCUAUAUUGAAAAUGAUAUCUUAAAAAAUAUUUUUGAAUAAUAACAUUUAAUAAAUACAUUAAUUUGAUUCUAAGAAUUAUUUUGUUAUUUUUAAAUUAAUGAUAUCAGGACACUAAUUUUUUAGAAUGUUUUAAAAAUAUUUGACUUAAAUAAUUAUAUGUCUAUUCAAGAUUAAUAAUGUAAUUAUCAAGACAAAAUAAUAUGUUUAUUAAAUGUUGAGUAUCAAAACAUAUUCUGGAGAUGACAAUUUCAAUGGUUAAUUUCAUAAAAAAAAUAUUCAAUCCUACUAUGAAUAGUUUAAAACAAAGUAAUUAUUCAUGGUCAAUCAAUAAUAAAUCAUUUUUAAAAUACAUUUUUAUAUAAUGUUAUAAGAACCACUAAAAUUUUCAUAAAUAUAAAUUUAUUUACAUUAUUAGUAUAUCACUAUUUAUUAAGCAGAAAGUUUAUUAUUUAUUAUUAUUAUUAAUAUUUCUAUAAUGAUUUCUAUAAGUCAUAUAACUUUUCUUACCUUGAAUAGUUAAUUUUAUAUAUAUUUUUUUAAUACCUUAAAUUUAGUAAACAAUCAAAUUGACGAAAUAUUUCUUCAAAUAAAUAGAAUUUUUAAUUUCUAAAAUUUUAAUAAAUUAUAAUUUAUUUUUUUAUACACUAUAUUAAUAAAUAUGAGAUAUAUUAGUUUUAUAAAUUAGCUUCACAUCUAUUUGAAUUUUUUUACUACAAAAACAUUUAUUAUUAAUAAUAAGUUAUUUAACUUUAAUUUCUUCUUGUAAUCUCAUUUAUUAAUUAUAUUACCUAAUGAUAGUCAAACCAAUACCAUUAUUAUGGAAUAAAAACUUUUGCCAAAAGAGUUUGGUAAAUGAAUUUCAAACCAAAAGAAUUGUGCAUUAAUGUCUUAACAUAUAUUUUUCUUUUUGGGCGUUUUUAACAAAUUGCCUUUAACCAAAAGUUAUGUUCAUUCAAAUUUUAAGUGAAAAAAAAGUAUUAAAUGAUCAAAAUGAAUGAAAAGAAAAUAUUCAUUUGGUGUGAUAAUAUUAAAUGCCAAGGUGUGGACUACAUAUUCAUGAUUUUUGGUAAAUUUUAAUUAAAUAAUAAUAGAAAUGUGUUAAGUGAAUGUAUUAUGGAAAUAUUAUUUUUUUUUUUUGUAAAUUUUAAGUAUUUUUUUAGAAAAAGAAUUCAAAAGGAAUUUUAUUUUUCUUAUUUAAACCUCGAAAUUCAAAAUUUGAAAUGAAAAAUAAUUCAAAUCCAAAAUAAUUUUCUGUAAUCAUCAAAUUUUAAAAAUACAUUUUCCCCAAAUAUUGCAUUCUUGCAACGUUUUCUCCCCAAAAGGUGGCGGUUCACUUGGUUACAUUCGGUUUCCUUUUCAUCACUUUUCUGUUGAAGGGCUUUGCUUCAGCGGCUCCGGUGUGAACGAAGAAAACAAAGGUACGUUAUUCUGAAAAUAUUCAUCUGGGUUUUGCAAAUUUUCUCUCGAAAACAGUGUAUUUGCGGAAAAAAUUGAUCUUGGCGCAAGCAUGCUUUGAUAUUUGUUUCUGCUGCUCUUUCUUAGAUUGGUUUAUUUCGGUGUGUGUUUUGCUAGUUCUACUACAUUCUGAAACUUGAAGAAUCGGCUUAAGGUGAUGCUUUAGUUAGAAUAUAAGUGUGAAUUUCUUCUGUGUAUUUUGUGUUUGCAUGAAAUGGAUAAUCAGUUAUGCAUCAUCCCACUUUUUUUUGUUUUGGAUGAAUAUUAUUGCACUUUAAUAUCCUCACGCAUAGAUUAUAAAGGCUGGGCAUCUGCUGGUCUCUGGUGGUGUAGCACUGGAUGGGAUGUAGACAGUUUAGUUUAUUAGAAUGGUUAGGAGAGUGCAGGGGAUGGCAGUAGAGUGUGAAGAUGGUAGAAAGUAGUAAUGUUAGUAGUGUAGGUUAUGCUAAGGUCAAUUUGUCGUUUUGCAGGUGUAGGAGUGGGGCUAGGGUGUACAAUUCCUUGGUAGCAUGAAUCUGUCUUGGCUUAUUCCAGUACCUAUUCUAAUUAGGAUGAGCUUGGUUAGUGCAGCAGAUGGCGUAAUCCAUCUAGCAGUAUUUUGUCAUAAGGAUGGGCAGUAGUGAAUCAUCUGUUAUCAUCUGUUGGGGUCUAAUGUUAGCCUGCCAAGAGUGGAAACAAGUGAUGGGUGGACCGGAUAGACCAAAACAGGACUUUUUUCUAUGGAAGUUUCUGAUGUAGGGUGGAAUUUAUCAAUGUUAUAAACACAGUCUGAGCAGAAUGGAAUGAGCAGGUCUGAUGGAUGGAGUGCGGCGUAGCUUAUGUGAAUUGUAAAACAAACAACCACUCACUUGAAUUUUCUCCAAAGAAACAGUCUUCUUUGUAUUUCUCUCUAUUGUAUUUCUGUGGUGCAUCUUACAACUUAGAGAGCAUUCUAUUUAUAGGCUUUAGCUCUACUAGAAAAAUCUUCAUUAUGGUCUUAAAACCUCACUAACAACAUUAUUAAAAUCCCACUCACAACUGUGUAUUGACUGAUGGUCAGGAAGCAGAGUAGCUGUUGAGGAAACUGUGUAUUGACUCAUGUGCUUUUUGAAUGAUGAUUAAAUUGUGUACAGGACCAUAGACAAAGGUGUGUAUAGGAUGUUAGGCAGAGGAAGUAGACAAACGCCAGCGCCUAGGCCUAGGAUUCUGGAUACGGAAACCGAAGUGGGGCAACCAUGGACGCUGCUGGACUGGGAAGGGAAAGUAAAGGAGCUAGAGGUCCGGUAUGAUGCCAUCAAUAGGCACAUCGGCCUCUCCGCCAAUGACCUCGAUAAUUCCUUCUCUAGCCGUUCCAUCAUUCUCAGCUUGAGGGAGGCUUCAGUUUCAAUUGGGAGGACAUCAAGGUUGUCAUCACUUACUCAGCAGUCCUCCUCAACACAGGUGACCCCUCCAUCAGCCCUUUGGUCCAUGAGCUGCAAGCCUGGAUCCUCCGGACAUUCACUUUUUCCGACGCGGACCCUGUCCACCCGGGAUCCUCUUCUUCUGACUCCAACCCGACAUUUUGCCCCCCUCGAGUUCACAAUCCUCAAGUUUUUCCUUAAAACAAUAUGUAGCAAAUUCGAUGACGAGGUCCUUCCCUCUUCUCUUCUUUUUCAUUUAUUGUCAAUUCCCCUCUCUACUCUACACUUCUCAUCCUCUGCCAAUUCACAGGUAAAGACUAUUGAGGAGGAGGCUCAUUCCCUCCUGGAUCAGAGCAUUUUUCAGAGGUGUACUCUUGGUAUCUGUGAUCCCAAAAUGGAAGUCAUUGAAAAAAUCAAAUACCAAUUACGCAACCUAACUGCCCGUAUUCAGAAGGUUAGUUUUGGAUUUAAGAUUUUGUUUAGGGUUCAAGUUUUCUUUGAUGUGAAUGCAUGCAUGUGUGGUUCGAUAUAUGUCCAGAUGAGUGAUGAAUUGGAGCAGUUGAAGGAUGAUGAUAAUCGUAAGACUAUGAUGUGUUUAACAGAAAUGUUAGAGCAACAAAUCUCUCCCGCAGAUAGGUAUUCACUUUUUUUUUUUACUUUUUACCUCUUUAAACUCUCUUUCAUCCUCUAACUGUAAAUUUUCUACCAGUUUUAGGACAGCGCCGCAGGACAUAGACUUAGGUGAACCCUCUGACAUUGAAAUACUUUUAGACAACUACUUGAGGAAGAACAUUGAGACAUCGAAGAAGGUCUCUAUGGUAUACACACCUAUGAUCUUUGAAUAUUUCUGAUCCAAUAUAGUUAUCUUAUGUAAUAAUUUUAAUUUGUAUGUUUUUUUGUCUUGAUAAAGGUGAGCAGAUAUGUUGAUGAGAGUCAGUCCCUCAUCAAAGACAAGGAAGAUCGCCGAAACAGCAAUAUCAUCAAGAUGACCCUCGUAGUGAGCAUAGGAAGCUUGGGAUUGAGUUUGUUCAGGUACUUUCACUCAAAAUGAUGUAUGAUGUUUCGGUUUUCUUGCUUUUUCUUUUCCUUAUGGAAAAACUUUAAGAAACAGUAUGUUAGUAAGAUGAACUUGUGUUUAUUUCAUUCUUCUGUGGUUUUCGCAUGCAUAUUAAAUUCAACCAUUUCUUAUAGUAAGCAAGUGAUUUUUUUUUGCUGAAGUGAGUGAAAAGAACUUGAACCUUAUCCUAGACAAACUUAAAAAAAAAAAAACUGCUUACUAAUAAAAUACAAAGCUAUUAAGACAAACUUUUGGCAUAUCACUAAUAAACACAAAAUAAAAGACCUUUCUCGGUAGCAGGAUGUUGAAGAACCAAUUCAUUGUCGUAAAACUGUAUCAGGGGUAUCACAUAAUGGGUUCUGGCAAUCCCCAGCUGUUCUGUUGUUCUCCAAUAUUUUUUCUGCACUAAUCAACUUCACAUCUUUUAUGGUCCUUGGGCCAUUCUCCUUGUCUUCAAAACAAAAACACAAACUUACAAAUCUCAUAUAUCACAAAACACAUGGCAAAAAUUUAGCAUGAAGCUCACAAUAUGACAAACAUCAGAAUUCACCACAGAAUCUAAUUAAAAGAUAUCAGUUUUAAUCUUGUUUGAUGGGGUGAUACUCCUUGGUGAUGAACAAAAAAAGGGACUUAUACCAAGAGUUCCCAUUUUUAAUUUAAAAGGCUGUUAUACAGGUCUUACCACCUUAUAUACUUUCUUUUACAGUAUAAACUCCCAAAAGGGCCUUCAUAUGAAAAAAAAAUGUCGUUUUGUUAAUAUAAUUUAAGUCUUCUCAAGGAAUUGACCAACAUUGACACAUUAAACAUAAUUAUGCACAUAUGCUGGACAGCAUAUCUUUGACCAAUAUUAAACGUAACUGUAAUACAUUAAAUGGAAAAUAUUUUUAUUCGUAUAAGUUUAUUUUUUUAUCUCAUCAAAAGAAUGAAAUAAUUCCAAUUGUUCUUCAUCAUCAUGUUUUCCAAUCCACCCAAACCAGCAGUCUCUUAAUUCAUAGCACAAAGUUCCUUAGUAGCACCAGAAUAAUACUACGUCUUCUCAGUUCUCACAUGGUAAUUUAGUGAUUAAACCAGAAGACCAAAAAGAGAAGUAAAAAGAAAAGGUUGAGUUAGAACCCUCUCACGCACGCAUCCAUACUCACUUAACAUGCAGAAUCUGGCAUGGGAAUCUAGAUAUAUCCAGAACAAAGAAAUUAUUCUCAACAUCAUUACCAUUCUAACCAGAGGUAUCCCAAUCAGUUAAAAAGUCUACUACAAUUUUUUUUUUUAAAAAAACAAAAAAAAUCUUCAAUUUUGGAAUUUGAACUUCUGCUCAAGUGACAUUUAUAUAAUUCUUUUUCUUAAAGCAAUAAAAAAACAUGUCAAAGUGCAAGUAAAAUGUCCUCAAACUUGACAAAACUAUUUCUCCUAAUAGAGCUUGAGAACGGUAUAUAUUAAUAUAUUAAUAUAAAUAUAUUGAUUUUUUUUUUCUAGUUCCUCUGUAACUAUAAAUAGUAGAUAGGGAAAACAAGUGAGGAGUAAAUUCUUAUUUGUUUUUUUUUUUUUUGAUCAGCAACUUAUUUGGUGUUAAAAGAAAAGUAGAUGAUAUGAUAUAAAUAAACUUGUUUCCAAACAUAAACGUAAGAAAAGAACAAAAAAGAUAUAGCAUGCCAUUAAGAAUAUAUCAAGCAGGUAUGGAUAACGCAGAGGAGAAGUAGACCAGCGGCCUUCAAACUUUUCACAGGUGCUCAUCCCUUUGUUAUGUCAAGCUUUUUGGACUCUUUACAAUCACAAUGUGAUCAUAAUUGUGGCUGCAUUGUGUUUGCAAAUUUCUACAAUGACUAUAAUUGCAGCAAAAUUGUGACUGAAUUCAAUCAUAUGUUCUAGCUUGUGGGUUGCUGUUUUAGUUUUAUGGGUUAUAGGGAGUCAGGGCUUUCUUCAUCAGAAGAACGGUUUUGGUUUGGCCUUACUGGGAUUAAUUAAGUUAUUGAAGCUUAAGAGUUUAUUUGUUUUUGUUGGGAAGAAAGCUUUAGUUGCUAUAGUUUUUAGGUGAUUGCUGUGCCAUUGGAUGGACUUCCUUUGUUGGAUAAGAAGACAUAGGAUAAUGUAUGAAUUGGUAGAAAAAAUUGAGAAGUGAGAUUUCCCAAAAAGAUUUAAAAUUAUAUUAAAGUCCAGGUUCGUCUUGGAUGGUACUGUCAAGAUCUUUCAUUGAUUACUGUAUAUGGGGAUGGGACAACCUACCUCGUACUGUUCUCAUGUACUACACAAAUUUCGUAUCUUCCCCUGAAGAGUACUUCCACACUGUCAUUUGUAAUGCUCAAGAGUUCAAGAACACAACUGUUAAUAGUGAUCUUCACUUCAUUUCUUGGGACAAUCCUCCCAGGCAACAUCCCCACUACCUUUCUGUCGAUGACAUGAGCAGAAUGGUUGACAGCAACGCCCCCUUCGCGAGGAAGUUCCACGGAGAUGAUCCAGUAUUGGACAAAAUCGAUCCAGAGUUAUUGUCUAGACGUCCUGUGAUGGUUGUUCCUGGUGGCUGGUGCAUAGGAAGCAGGGAGAAUGGGAGCGAUCCUUGUUCUGUAGUUGGUAAUGCUACUGUCCUUCCUUAGGCCUGGCCCAGGUUCUGAAAGGCUUCAAACUUUGAUCAAUUCAAUGAUGUCUGAUGAAAAUUUUCGACCAAAACAGUGUGCAUGACAAAAACCUACUGCCAACAGCAGUGAUUUCUAGAGAUUAUGUCGCUUGCCACUUGCUUCAGUUUUUCUUCUUCUCUAUAUUUAGUUAACCUGAUCGAUGAAUUCAUGUACCUUUUCAGUAGGAAAUGUAAAUAUUGCGAGUGUAAAGCACAAACUCGAUUUUUUUAUAUAUUGACAAAAAUUGAGGCUAUCUGGUGGCAUGAUAUUGACAGCAGAGCUGGAUCAUAUUCUGCAAUUUUGUGACAUUUCUUUUUAACUACGGUUAAGAGAUAAUGGAAACUUCCAACUAGGGUUAGAGAUAAUGGAAGAAUGUUGAAACAAGAAAGACCUUCAUGAGUGGGAAAUAUCUAUUAGUGCACUCUAAUCUUCCUCUUUGUGCCCAUAUACUAUAUAACGCACCAUAAUGUAUCUUUAGAGUCUCUAACCAAUCAAAUGUGGGUGGAUGUGGAAAUUUUGUGAUGUCUUCUGUUUACUUUUUACACAUAAAUUAAUACUUAAUAAUAUGACUGCUUAUUGGCUUGUUGAUUCACCAGAGGGAUAAAUAUAAAGUAGUAUUUUAUCUAUUAUUUUUUAAUUCAGACAUUGUCAUUUUAUAGUUUUAGAUAAAUUUAAAUUAUUAAUUAAAAUAGAUCAGCCUAUGAGAAAUUAAGUUUCAUAAUAAUAUCUAUAUGAAAGUUUUUAUAAAAAAAAUUUAAUUAAAAUAGGUUCAGAUUUUCAAAUAAAGUGUGUCAACAUUUUAACAUUUUUAGAGGAUAAAUUAUUAUUAGUUGUGUAAAUACUCUUUGCACUUCGAAGUCUACCUUAAUUUUAACGAGUUCUAGAAAUUUUAACACAGCUAAAGUUGUUUUUUUAAUGAAAAAAGGAAAGGCAAAGGGAAAGGAAAAGGAAAAGGAUCAUAAAUAUAUUAUUAAGCUUUUAUCCAUCUUCUAUCAAUGCUAGAAUAGAAAAUUAUAUAUUGAUGAUAAAUAAUUCCAUGAAUUCGUGACUUGCUUUGCUCUUCAACUCACCAUAAAAUAAACCUAUUUUUAUUCUUUUUAAUAAAAUGAAUUUUUAACCUUUAUAAAAUUUAACUAUAUACGUUGUCCUUCGAUUUUUUUUUAUAAAUUAAAUCAUUCCAGUCUCCUAGUAAAUAUCAGUAAAAAGCAACACAAAUAGGGAGUUGAAUUGAGUAAUUAAAAAAACUACACUUUAAUUUUUUUCCCUUUCUUUUAACAACGUAUGAGACCUCUAUCUAACAUGCACUUUUUAAUUUAUGAAAAUUUAUAAUCUAUAUUAACAGAAAUGACUGUAGUUUAAGUUGUUAUGAGUAAUAAUUAACAAUAAUUUAUAGUGAAAACGUUUGAAAGUGAUUAUUUUAAAGCUUAAUACUUGGAAUAAAGAGAAACAUUUUGUUUGAAAUUCAAUUUUUAAAACAACUUUUUCGAUACAUAAAAUUUAUAUGCAUCAUUAAUAAUUUUUAAAGAUUUUCUCAUCAUUUCAUAAUAAAAAAUACGCAUAUUAACAAAGAUAGGGAUAAGAAAAAAAAUUUAAUAUUAUAUAAAACUAUAUAAUAUUUUAUAAAAGCAUCAUUGAUUUGUAACUUGCAGAGUUUCGUAAAUAAAAGCAUUGCUACACCUAAUUAUAGUGAUAAAUUAUUAAAAAAUAUUAUUAAAUAAAAAUAAAUAAAAUAUUUAAAAUGAAUAAAAUCAUUUUCUAAUGAAAUUCUUUCUGCCAAACCAACAUAGACGGUAAGACUUGAAAUGUCCCACUUGCUUAGAAAAAGUACACACGAAAUGUCCAGCGCUAGUAGUUUGAGAAAUCUUGAUAUAUUCAUUGCUUGAUUUAUGGUGUUUGAGUUGAGCUCUCUUUGUUUAGAGAUUAUCGAUGGAAACUACUUGCAGGCAAAGUGCUUCAGGAACCAUUCUUCUUCUCUUGCAGUUAUGGUGCUUCUCUUUCAUUUCCAUAGCAGAAGAUAUUUAUGAUCCCACUGAGCUCUUCAGCAUCAGCUGCGGCUCAUCCACCAACUUCUCCACUCUCGACACUCGGAAUUGGACUGCAGACAUCCACUUCCUCUCUCCAACCACCCAUCUCUCCGUUGCUGCUCCUUCACUCACACCAUCUACCCAACAGGGACCUUACACCUAUGCUCGUCUUUCUCACUCCCCGUUCACUUACUCAUUCCCUCUCACACCAGGCCCCAAGUUCAUUCGUCUCUUCUUCUACUCAACUUCAUACCAAAACUUCAACCGCUCCCAAGCCUGUUUCUCAGUCAAAGCAGGCCCCUAUACCCUCCUUCAAGGUUUCAAUGCCUCCCUCAACGCCGAUGCUGAUGAUGACCCUAGCCACUCUGAUAUCUUGUUCAGAGAGUAUUGCAUUAACCUCCAAGACGCUGAGAACCUCAACAUAAUCUUCAUUCCUAACACCACAGAUUCCUACGCUUUCAUCAACGGGAUCGAGAUUGUUUCGAUGCCCCCUUCUCUCUACUACACCGAUCCUGAUGAAGACUACACGGAGCAGCCUCAAUAUGUUGGCACCACGACCCCGUAUGUGAUUGAGAACAAGUUUGCUCUCGAGACCAUGUACAGGUUAAAAGCUGGUGACCAUACAAUCUCCUCCUCUGGGGACACUGGUAUGCUCAGGACUUGGGAUGCCGAUAGCAAGUACCUAGUUACUCAAAGUGAAGAAUCUAUUGAGUAUAAGGCUACAACUAAUCUGAGCUUCACUAAGAAGACUCCUAACUACACGGCACCAGACCAAGUGUUCCGAUCUGUAAGGAAUAUGGGAAUGAAUGACUCUAACAACAUCAAGAACAACAUCACUUGGCACUUUACCGUUGAUUCCGGAUUCACCUACUUCCUAAGGUUAUACUUUUGUGAGCUUAACCCCAGAUUUAACGAGGCUGGUUUCCUGAUAUUCUCCAUCUUCAUACAAGACCAGUUGGCUACCGAUUGGGCAGACGUUUUCUUGUGGACCAAAAACUGGGGUGUGCCCGUGGUUAGAGAGUAUGUAGUUAUCAUCUCAGAGAAUCAGAAAAAAGUUAACCUUUCACUUAAAAUGCAUCCUAACCCUAAAAGCAGGGUCUCGGACACACAAAUAAAUGCAAUUGAAAUCUUCAAAAUCAGCAAUUAUAAAGGUAGUCUUGCGGGACCAAAUCCCGACCCUCCUACACAACCCGCAGUGGUUACUCAUCAAGACUCAAACAAGAAAAUUGGAGUCUCCAAGAAAACUCUUCCCGCCGUGAUGGGGGCAGUUUUCGGCGUCCUUUUGCUCACUUUAUUUAUUGUCGCUUUCUUCCUCGUCAAACGCAAGAAGAACAUCGCCGUUGAAAGUAAAAAGCACGGAACUACUCGCGAGGGUGGCUCAUCAUCGCUUCCAAGCAACCUUUGUCGUCACUUCUCAAUCUCAGAAAUCAUAGCCGCCACCAAUAACUUCGACGAACUCAACGUCCUUGGAGUGGGAGGCUUUGGCAACGUGUACAAAGGUUACAUCGACGAUUCAACACCUGUGGCAAUCAAAAGGCUCAAACCGGAUUCUCAGCAAGGUCUGAAAGAGUUCAUGAACGAGAUCGAAAUGCUCUCUCAACUUCGUCAUCUCCAUCUUGUUUCUCUCAUCGGUUACUGCUACGAGAGCAACGAGAUGAUCCUCGUUUACAAUUUCAUGGAUCGUGGAACCCUUCGUGGCCAUCUCUACGACACUGAUAACCCUUUGCUUUCAUGGAAGCAAAGGCUUCAGAUAUGCAUCGGGGCCGCACGAGGACUGCAUUAUCUGCAUACAGGUGCGAAACAGAUGAUCAUUCACCGUGACGUGAAGAGCACAAACAUCUUGUUGGAUGAAAAAUGGGUGGCGAAAGUUUCAGACUUCGGGUUAUCUCGAAUUGGGCCCACGGGUUCUUCAAUGACCCAUGUGAGCACUCAGGUGAAAGGCAGUAUUGGGUAUUUGGAUCCGGAGUAUUACAAACGACAGCGUUUGACGGAGAAGUCGGACGUUUACUCGUAUGGAGUGGUGCUCUUAGAGGUAUUGUGUGGGAGGCAGCCUUUGCUCCGAACGGUGGAGAAGCCACAGGUGUCACUUGUGGAUUGGGCGAAGCAUCGGUAUGAGAAGGGGUGUCUGGGUGAGAUUGUGGAUCCAGCACUGAAGGGGCAGAUAGCACCUCAGUGUUUGCGCAAAUUUGGUGAGGUUGCAUUGAGCUGUUUGGUUGAGGAUGGGACUCAGAGACCAUCCAUGAAUGAUGUGGUUGGGAUGUUGGAGUUUGUUCUGCAGCUUCAGCUUCAGGAUAGUGCUGAUGGUAAUGUAGUGUGGGAGAGUAGUGGGGAUUAUGAAGGCAGAACAACUAAAGACAUGUUUAGCAGUUCCCAUAGUAAUAGCAGUGGAUUGAACACUAAAAGCUACGGGAACGAGGAAUCUGACCAGUUGAUCCCUCAGAAUGUUUUUUCUGAGCUUGAGGAUCCAAAGGGACGCUGAUCGGAGUUAGUGUGCUCAUGUUAAAGAACUAGACAUCCCGCUAAGGUUCAUGGUUGUUGGUUAUGGUUAUUGUAUAAAAAAUUGGGUUGUAAAUUCAUCAUUAUCUUCUUUCUAUUGGAAAAAUGAUGUUUUUCAUAAUCUUUGAAAUUCUAUACAACUCUCUAUAAAAUUUUUGAAACAUUUUACAUCUUGCUUGUGUAUUUUCAUUAAGGAGGUUUUUGUAGGGUUCAAUCAUGCUUUCAGCUUGGUAGAAAUGUUUAGUGUAUCCCUUACACAUCCACUGUUUUUUUUUAUCACCAAAGCUCACACAUCCACUGCAAUGUCUGAACAACUAAAUACAUAAUAACUCCGAGUAAAGUAAGUUACUGAUAAAUCUAAGGUUUAAGCUCCAUCUAAUACCAAGUCACCGAAUGAUAAGCAUUCCUUUAAGUGAAUAUUAUCUUAAUUAUAGAACAUCUUUUGAUAGAUCUAGUAAAAUUAGUGAAAAUGAUAAUUUUAUUAUCAAAAUUUCAGAAAAUAAAUCAUUGAAUUAUGAAACUCGUUUUUCUCGUAUCUUACACCUCUUAUUUCUGAAAAUAUUUUUCAAUACUAAUUAUCUAAUAAACACUAAGAAUGAGGGUUAUGUUGAGAAGGAUACUUGAAAUCACUUUAUUUUUAAGAAGAACAUAAACCAAUAUUACCCUUUUGUGUACGUUGAUUGUUGUUUCAAGUUAUGACUAAAAAAGAUAGAAAUUAGUAUUUGCACCACACACCAGUACACAAUUAUGCAACUAUUAUACAUCAAAUCUGCACAGCAUUAGUAUAAAGUAAAGAUCACCGAAUAUAGUUUUGAUGAUACUGAUUUUAUAACUACGAAGUGUAAAAAAAGGGUAGACGUAUAUUGGGCAUGAAUUUGAGAGAGGUAUAGGAACUUUAAGAUCAUAUAUUUCUAUGAAUUGUAGCAAUGUAUCAAUAGAGGAAAAAAAAAGGACCAUGGAUCGAUUUUUGCUCCACUGCAUUCGAUACAAGCACUAUCUAUUCCAUUAUGUUAAAGGAAGACUCUUUUUAUAAAAGAAAUGCUGCAUAUAUAUAGUGUGACCUUGGAGGAGGAAAUUAGACCGAACGUGUCGUUAUCACUUCAGCUAUAUUGCAAUUACAUGUAGCCCACAAACUACAUAGUCAAAAAGGGAAACAAUUAAGCAUUUGAAAAAACGAGAUAAUUUCCAACUAAAGAUGCAGUGAUAAGGUUUAUAGAUAGUGGUGCUUCAUUCAUGUUGGGAUAUAUCUAUAUUUUGUUGUUGUUGCUGCAGAGGAACCGAAAUGAAAAGAGCACGCAUUUGUGGUGUGAUGUUGGUGAUGAUUUUGGUCCACGCACAUGUCAGUAUUUCAGAUCCGGCGAAGACCAACGACACCACUUCUGUUUGCGAUGGCUCCCUACAGGAGUGCUCCGAGUUCCCCACCCUCACCACCUCUCACUUCGCCAGAAUGCUUGCUCAAACCGACACUAAGACCAUUAAUACACUCAAACCUGGAGCCUCCUGUCCCGUCCGAAAUGACAAGUAUUAUAAGGAUUGUUUUCCUCCUAACAAACCAGAACCUGUUAGAGAAUGUCGUAGUAUCUACUACAGAAAAUGCUGAAUAGCUUCCAAAUUUGGUGUGAAGCUGUUUUGUGUUUUGCUUCUUCCAUUUCCGUAGUUCUUCUAUAUAUGUAUCUGCAGUUACUGGGCACGCAUCACUUUCCCCAGAAAUGAAAUAUUUUGGUGAAGGGACUGUCACAGAUGUCUGCUUUUCUUGUUUCAGCUUCAACUAAUGAAGUUUCUAGCUAUAUAUUGUCUUGCAGAAUAAUGGAUGAUAGUUAUAUAUAUUGUCCUUUCAGCCCGCUGACUUUGAAAGUUCGUAUUCAUUCCUCACGAUACUAUGAUCUAGUUACUUGUUUUUAGUAAACCAGCAAUGGUCUCUACUUAACUUAAAGAUUCAUGCUCCAUGAUGAAAGUUCUAACUUUAUGCAAUUAGUGACUUUUACUUUUUUUUCUUUUUAGAAAUUAAGAAAUGUAUUUAAAAGAUUAUCCUAUAAAACAAUCAUAAGAUUUUUAUUUGUUUUUUUAUUUUUGCAUCACGAUACAUAUAUAAAUUAAUGAAAAAUAGACGUUGAAAUAAGAAAAUAAUUCAUGUUAUUUUAAAUUUGAAAAAUUAAGUCUAGGGUUUUCUGAUGAUAUCUAUAAACAUCUUGAGUGCACUUUACAUUUAUUUUUUUGUAUUGCGUGACUCACUUGAUGAGAUGAAAGAAAAGGGAAUAGAGUGUGUUUAAAAUUUCAAACUCUUUGGUUUAUGAGACAAAAGGAGAGAAAAGCUAACGUAUUAAUGAUAUUACUAUUUUACUCUUAAUUUCCUAAUUUCUCUCUAUUAAAAUAUGUGAUAUAUUAAAUUAUAUCAACGUAAUAUAAUUUGAUUACCUUAUAUAAAUGUUAAGUUUAACGUAACAUAAUUUUCUAUAUAAUAUAAUCUAAUAAAAUUAAAAAAAAUAUUUUUUAUUAAAACUGUAGUUUUAAUAAUAAUAAUAAUAAUGCUAAAUAAUAAUAAUUUAGUGGUUAAAUAAACUUAAUUUAUAAUAAUAAAAGUAAUUUGGUUGUUUUGUAAUUAUAUUAUUUUAUAAUUUUUAAUGAUUGGUGAAUUUUAUAAAUAUAAUAUGAUCAACAUUAGAACGACUAUAUCUAUAUAUAAAAAAAUCAUAAAAGGUGAUAUUGGAUACUUAUUACUCAAUAAUUUUCCAAUUUUGAUAGAAUUAUUAAAAAAAAAUCAUUAAGUAGAAAUUAAUUUUAAAGAUAAAAGAUUAACUAAAUUAGAUAUUAUUUUAUGAAGUAGAAAAUUAUUAGUAUCUAAAUAGUUUUAUUAUUAAUAAAAGAAAAUUAAUAAAUAAUAACUAAUUUGAUAUAGAAAAGAUGAAAUAUUAAUAAAACAUGUGAUUUAACAUUGGAUAUUGUUUAUUUAUUAAUAUCACUCAAGAAUUGCAUAUUAAAAGCAAUCCACGCGAACAGUAUAUAAUCUCAAAUUUGCUGAAAAAUCAUCUUAAUGUUCGCUAUUUGAAACAAAAUUCCUUAACCCUUGUUUGCUUUCAUGGAUGUACUGUUUAAGAGGAAGGAUGUGAAUGAAUAUUCAUGGUUUGGAUCAAGGGAUGUGCAGGGGAGUGGAGGAGAGGAUAUACCUGUGAACAGUAAAUAUCUUCUCCCCUCAAAAUGAAGAGAUGUAGAAGGAAAGCCAUGUCAGCAUCCCUUAUUUCCAAAUUUACCCUCAUUUGAAUGUAUCACAAUGCUUCAUUGGAAUGUAUUAGUAUUUUAAAAAAUUUAUUGUACAAUGUUUAAAAAAUAUAUAUAAUAUUUAAAAUGAAGAAACAAAUCAUAAUAAAUUUUAAGGAAGUUUUAAGUUUGUUUAUUAUUUUAUAAAAUAUUAUAAAUCAGUGUAAAAAAAUAUAGUUAAAUAAAAUAUUUCAUUUAUAUAUUAGUUAUUAGAGUAGAUCAAGUGAUACCUAUUUUUCAAGUUCUAAUAAGAUAUUUUAUUAAAUGUGGUUGAAUUUAGUUUUUUUAAGAAAAAAUAUACUAUAUCUAAUUAAAAUUGAAAAUAUUACCUGGUUGGAUCAUGGUCAUCNNNNNNNNNNNNNNNNNNNNNNNNNNNNNNNNNNNNNNNNNNNNNNNNNNNNNNNNNNNNNNNNNNNNNNNNNNNNNNNNNNNNNNNNNNNNNNNNNNNNNNNNNNNNNNNNNNNNNNNNNNNNNNNNNNNNNNNNNNNNNNNNNNNNNNNNNNNNNNNNNNNNNNNNNNNNNNNNNNNNNNNNNNNNNNNNNNNNNNNNNNNNNNNNNNNNNNNNNNNNNNNNNNNNNNNNNNNNNNNNNNNNNNNNNNNNNNNNNNNNNNNNNNNNNNNNNNNNNNNNNNNNNNNNNNNNNNNNNNNNNNNNNNNNNNNNNNNNNNNNNNNNNNNNNNNNNNNNNNNNNNNNNNNNNNNNNNNNNNNNNNNNNNNNNNNNNNNNNNNNNNNNNNNNNNNNNNNNNNNNNNNNNNNNNNNNNNNNNNNNNNNNNNNNNNNNNNNNNNNNNNNNNNNNNNNNNNNNNNNNNNNNNNNNNNNNNNNNNNNNNNNNNNNNNNNNNNNNNNNUUAUGUUUAUAUUAAUAUAUUUCUAUAUAUAGUUAUUAUGUUUAUGAGUUAUAAUUUAUUUUAUUAUAAUUUUUUAUGAAAUUUUUUUCUAUUGUUAAUUACGUUAUAUUUUUGUUGUUGUAGUAUUUUUUAUUUUUCAUUUCUAGAGGGUUUUUAAUAUUAAAAAAUAAUAUCUUUUUAUUUAUAUAAGAUUUGAUUUAUUUUUCAAUUUUAUUACUUGAAGUUUUUUUUAUUUAAUUUGUUGAAUACAUAUUUUUUUUAAUUAUAGUUUUUAUAUUAUACAUAUUUACAUUUAACAUAUAUUUUUUUAAUUAUAAUUUUUAAAUUUACGAAAUAUGUGAAAGUUUUUCAUUUUUAAACAAAAACAACUCAUUUUAUUAUUAAUUUUUUUAAUAGGCAAGGGUUAAUCUGUAAAGUAAUAAUUCACACCUUUAAAAAAAAUUAAAAUUUCAUCAUAACCAUCACAUCACUCACAAACUCCCAUAAACUUUCCUCACACAUCCACCCUAACAUACAUCAAUCCAAACACCCUCACUUUCUUCACACUUUCUUCACACAUCCUCACACAUCCACUCCCUCGAAUCCUCACACAUCUCCUCCUCAAUCCAAACAGAGCCUAAAAGUACCGAGAUUUAAAAUCAUUACAAAUGUCUUCAACUUUCUCGAUUCAUAAAAGACUAAGCCGGAUUGGUGCGAAACCAAGUGGACAAUCCAAGACACUAUUAUAUUUUUGCAGCGUCUCUAGGCAGAAUACGCAGGUUCACUUUUAAUAGGUUCUGUACCGGUACUAGGCGAGGCUGGGACCCACCUGCCUGCCCGACUCCCAGUCAAGCCUGACCGAGAGACUGAUAAGUCAAUAUCUUCGGAAAUCUGGCCGAACGACCGGCAGACCAAGAAUAUCUUCAGAAAUCUGGCCAAACGACCGGCUGACCGAGAGUAUCUUCAGAAAUCUGGCCAAACGACCGGCAGACCGAGACCUUUGUAUACUUGGCCGAUUGACGAAUGGUCGACACCUUUGUAUACUUGGCCGAUUGACGAAUGGCCGACACCUUUGUAUACUUGGCCGACUGACGAGUGGCCGAAACCUUUGGAGACUUAACUGAGAUGGUCGAAGACCACACUUAUUUGGCCGAUGGCCUAUCCUCACCAUGAGAUUGUGGCCGACGGCCGAACCCUAUUACGAUUAACGCUCAAACGGAGAUCAGUAAAGCUAAUCCAUCAUCAAGAAUUAGGUAAUGCAACCCUAAGCGGUAUCCACCUCGAUAAACGGGCCCAACAAGGUAGGCCCAUUAGAAUAAUAUAAAUAGCACGCAUUCCAAGGAGUAAGGUAUGUCAUUAUUACUGUUCACCUACCUGAGAGCUAACCGCCCGCUUUACUGACUUGAGCGUCGGAGUGCCUUCGCAGGUACCCCCACCAUCUGGUGUUCACCCGACGACCGAGUUCCGAGUGCCGAAGGGUAAGCAGAAGAAAGAGAAGGAUCCCAGUUUAUCACCCAGACACCUGCCCGACCGAAGGAAGGAGAAGAAGACUUCAACAGUUCUCUAGGUCCCAUCUCCCUAGCAGGAACAGGUUCAGUUAUGCUUUCAUCAACGAAUUCAAGCUUGUUUUUAGGUUAAGGGCAAUGACUAUUGAUCUGAUCUAAGAAUAAUAAUUUUUUCCAUCAAGAACAGAAGAAAUAAGGCAAGUGACCAGAUUUUCAGUGGGAUGAACUAGCAGCUUGGAACAGAAGGUGUUUGUUGAAAUUCCUAUGCCAUAAGAACAAAAAGAAAACAACAAGAAAGAACAAGAUAAACGAAAGGAGAACAAGAAAAAUAAGCAGAGUAAAUGCGCAGCAGAUGAUACCAUGAAAAAUGGAAAGCAUGGACAACACAGAAGAAUUAAAUCUGAUAUCUCACGCAAAGAACAGAGAAGAAGAAUGCAAGAUAAGAAAACAGACUAAUAGUCAUGAACAAAGAGGAACCAAGGUAUGAAAAGAGAAAAACAUUAUUGAUCAGAAAACUCUCACAUACAACUGUCACAUAUAAACACUGAAAAUAGAAGGAAAACAACUGUCAACUACCUGUAACAGCUAUCAGUUAUUAGGCAAAUUCUUCCUGCACCCAAUAUUUUCCAACGUGCACCAACACCUAAAAUACCUUUUAUUUCAAAUAUGAAAAUCCAAAAUUGAAAAUAAUAUAUUUCGGAAAAGUAAAUUCAGAAGAGUUUUCUAUGUUCCAGAAAUAAAAAUCCGGAAAAAAAAAAUCAAAAGCUCAUUCCGAAUAAGAAAAUCCACAAUGUAAAAAAUAAAUGACAUUUUCAUUUUUUCACUGGAACUGGGUGCAGUAAUAUGUUGCAGGAAGCAAUUUCCAAAACCUCAAUGCUGUUGAUAGUGAGCCUUGCUAUGAGAACCAUAAUUUCAUGAUGAAGUCUGUUUGUAACGUAGUUGGGCCUCAUGUCAUUUAAUUGGAGGCAAAUUCUUCCUGCACCAUAUCAAUUUUAACCUCCACUAUAUCAUUUUUUUAAAAUUUCCAAAACUACCCUCCUGCACCAUAUCAAUUUUAACCUUUACCAUAUGAAUUUUUUAAAUUUCCAAAACUACCCUUAUUCCAAAUUAAAAAAUCCAAAAUAAUAAUUAUAAUUGAGAAAUAAAAAAAUACAUGCUGGAAAAAAAAUUCUGAACACAAAACUAAAAAUACAUUCUGGAUAAAAAAAUUUCAAAAUUUAAAAAUAUGUUCCAAAAAUUGAAAUCCAAAAUAUUUCAGAUAAAAAUUUCAAAAAUAAUUUUUCCCAUUUUUAUGUAAGGUUAUUUUCGUUAUUUAGGAAGGAUAUUUUUGUCAUUUUCUAGAGUUGAUUGGGUGCAUGUUGAAAUUGAUAUGGAUCAUUAUGAGGCCCAACAAGGAGCCCAACGAUUAAGUAGCAGGCACAUCAAGAAACGAUUAUCAGAUGAAGCCUUUUUAAAUAUUUGAAUUUUCACGUAAAAUAAAAGGAUCCUGGACCAAUUAAUCAAAUUUAUUCUUUCAAUUAUUUCACUCUUGCAUUUAACAUUUUUCUUACAAUCUAUUUUAUCAUUAUCAUUAAGAAUACUUUAGUAUGGAAACAUCAAUAGCUCAACUGCAAAAAGGUUUGUGGAGUAGACUAAAAACCUAGGUGAGGGACAAAAUUUCUUCCUUAAGCUAAUCGCUUGAAGAGGAAAUUAAUUGUUGGCAUGGUUAUCCAGUUGCAAAUUUCACACAAACAAAAACAUAUGGUUGGUUUUCAAAAUUUUACUUAACUUCUAUUUAGAUAAAAGAAAAAGAAAACAAAAUUCUCUAUAAAUUCAAAACUUAACUUAUUCAUAUUUUAUUAUAAAUAAUAUAUCGUAUGAACUUUUCUAAAAGAUUUUUAUAACUCAUGUAUUCGCUAAUUUUAAUUUAUAAACAACUUAUUUUUUUUCUCUUACAAAUAUUUAUGGAAAAAUUAUCUAGACCAAUACUUAACUUAAAUUAUUAAUUAAAUGAUUUAUUUAGAUAAGCCAAUUCAAAUCAGUAAACAAAACACACAUUUAUCAUUAGUUAAUUCAUUCUAAAUAGUAAAAAUUAAUGUUAAUUAGUGACUAACGUCAAUAAGACAUAUAAAAAAAUUUAAAAUUAUAGAGGUUUUUUCCCUCAUCACUAAUUUUAAAUUGAUUUUUAAAUAAGGUAGUUUAGUAUCAAUCAAGUUCACAUAAUAUUUUAUUUUAUUUUAAAUAAGGUACUUCUAUACAUAAUUAUUAAUGUUCUCAUCCAAUUUUUUUUAAAAAAAUAUUAUCUAUACUUAUAUUCUAUCUCAAUAGCCAAAUUCCACAUUAAAAUUGGAUGAACCGUGAAUGACAUAUAGAUUUAUCAUUCUAAUUAUCACAAAUAAUAUAAUUGGAAAAUCAUAUGCUAAAAAUUUAAUGAAAUUCAUGCACACAUAUAAAUAAUAAAUUGAUGAAUUAUUUAGACUUUGAAAUUUUUUUUCAUGUAACAAGAAAAUCAUUGAGAGAAAAAAAAAAAAAGCAAAGACUUGCUAAGAAGAGUUGGAUAAUUUAUUAGGAGCUAGCAUGGUUGUAUGGCCUGAUGGGAAUGCGUCCCUACUUCUAAUCUUGUGGUUUCUUUCAACUUCAACAUUGUAUAGUACCUUAUUAUGAGUUGUGUGAACGCUAGACGACAACAUAUAGAAAGGACCAUGAACAUUCAACUAGCUAGGAAAAAGGCAAUGGCGAAGACUAGCAAAGAAGACUUGAUAAAGUUAUUAUGGGAUGUGCCCUUAAGUCUUCAUCGUUCGCUUUUCUUCCAUCAGCUACAUACAGAAUACAGCAUUGUCAGCAACUACUGCCUGGUUACCGGCCACAAACGUCUCUACUUCAUAAACAAGAUAAUUCUGCGGCUUCAUAUGCCCAUUCACUUGUUCAAAUAUAAACUACUAAGUAUUUUAUCUAUUCAGAACAUUUUUUUUUUUAAAUUUAGGUAAAUUCACGAUCUGAAUUAAAAUACUUCAAAAAGUAAAUAUAUAUAACUUAAGAUACUUAAUAUUUUGAUUUUGAAUUUACAAAAAAAAAUCAAUAAAAACAUUAUUCUAAAUCAUAAUCAAAGAUACGAUGUUCAUAAUAAUUUUAAUUUUAAUUUUUUUUAUAUAACUUACAUUCAAUAUGAAUAUUUCUAUUUACAAAUAUAUACAUGGUUGUAAAUAUGAGAUAAAUAAACACAAUAUCAAAUGUUAAGCAGUUGUUUUUUUCAUGCGUUUUUUCUUAUUAAUAAAAAGUUUUGGUAAUGUCGCUUGUGAAAGUAUUUUCCGUGGGAUUUUGGGAGAGUUUAUUAGAGUUUUUUCUGUGUUUCUCAACGUUCAGACUACUUUGGUUGUUGAAUUUUAUGGAGUUAUAUAUGCUUUGGAGGAAGUUCAAAAGUUGAUAUUACUAAUGUUUGACUGGAAUGUGAUUCUGUCUUGGUUUGUGUUGCGUUACUACUAGGACAAAUGUUCAUUGGAUACUUCGUAAUCGAUGUAAUACUUAUCUUAAUUACAGUGGAAAAAUCAUAUUUAAGGUUACUCAUAUUUUUCGUGAAGGGAAUGCAUGUGCUGAUAAAUUGGCUAAUUUAGGAUUUAUUCAUAGAGAAUUCUUUCAUUGCUAUAAUAGACUUUCAUCUAGUAUGUUCUUAUAAAAUUCUUUAUUAAUAUGUAUAAUCUAUCUAUGUAUCGUUUUUGUUAACAUAUAAGUUUUGGUAUAGUCUUCCAUAUUUUUGUAUUUUUUUAUAUAUUUUUUUAACAAUAUUUUUUUCAUGUGAUGACAAAUGAUUAUUAUUACUUGAUAUGUCAGGCUAACUGAAAUGUCAAGUAGAUGAUACUUAAGAUAAAACUUUUUUUAUAUAAAAAAAAAACUUUGGUCAUAUUUUAUUUGGUUUAAAUGGGAUGCUAAUAAAAUGUUCAAGCACAUUUAAAGUGUGCGGGCCAUAAGCCUAUUCAAGUUAAACCAAUAUUCUAAUAAAAUCAAACCAUGAAUAUAAAACAGUUAAAAAUUCAAAUUAUCACAGUGAACAAAACAAAGUUUGACCGAUCACUUAUUUCCAGUGGAAAUAUAUAUAUUUUUUCAAUACAGAAAAAAUCACAAUACACAACUUUAUCAUCAAUAAGUAAAACGUGCAGUGAAAAAAUAAAUAAAACUUCAUAAUCUUAAUAUAAAAUUAAAAUAAAUUCCUUUUCAUACCUAUAAUAUAUAAAUAUAAUAAAUUAAAAAUUCCUAAUUUCACAACUAAUAAAAUUGUGAGAAAACAUCAUUUCAAUAAAAUCAUAUAAUUUUAAAACACUGUUCUAAUACCAUAUAUAAAAUUAUAAUAGUUUUUUUAAUAACUAUAUAAUAUAAAAAAUCAAGACAACAUUUUAAAAUUUACAUAAUUUAUAUAUAUAUAUUAAAUAACACAGUGUAUAUUUUUUUAUAAUAUAUUAUUUUUAAGUGUUCUGUGCUGAUAUUUUUUUUAUCUUUUUAAGUUUAAAAGAGACUAAAAAUAACUAGUUACCAAAUAAUUAAAUUAAUAACUAAAUUAAAGACUAUUUUAAAAAAUUAUUAAUUUUUAAAUUGAUAUUUAAUUAAUUAUGUUUUAAUUACCUAUUAUUUAGAUUCUAAAUUUAAUUAUAUAAAAUAAUUUAAUUAUCUUAAAUAAAAAAUAAUAAUUCUUGUUAAAUAAAACAACGGGAAAUAUAAAAUAAUAUGUGUUUAAAAAUAAAUUAAAAUUUAAAAAGUCGCAUCAAGAAAAGUUAUUGAAAAAUGUAAAAUUUGAUAUCUUAUAAUUUAAAAAAAUGAGCAGAUAGUUGUUGUUGAUAGUGAUAAAAUAAUAGAGCCACUGCCGACACUACUAGAGAGUGGAAAUUUGAGAGUGGCUUGCAUUGAGUGUGGAUUCUUGUGAGAUAAGAUUGUGUAGCAGAGAGAAGUCUGAUGUGUACUCGUUUGGGGUUGUGCUGUUGGAGGUAUUGUGUGGGAGGCAGCCUUUGCUCCGUAUGGUGGAGAAGCAACAGGUGUCUCUGUUGAUUGGGCAAAACAUCGAUAUCAGAAGGGGUCUUUGGGUGAGAUUGUUGAUCCAGCACUGAAGGGCCAGAUAACACAGCAGUGUUUGCACAAAUUUGGAGAGGUCGCCUUGACCUGUUUGCUCGAGGAUGGGACUCAACGGCCUUCCAUGAACGACAUUGUUGGAAUGCUUGAGUUUGUUCUGCAGCUUCAGGAGAGCGCUAAUAAUGGAGUGAUAAAGGACACCUGUGGGGGUUACGAAAAUAGUGAGGACAUGUUUAGCAGUAGUCAUAGUAGUGUACAACUUUCAGAUUAUAGUGAUAGCACUAGAUUGAACACCACUACAGAUGAUAGCUAUGGGAGUAAGCAAUCUGACAGGCUGCUCCCUGAGAAUGUUUUCUCUCAGAUUGGGGAUCCAAAGGGACGAUAAGGUACGCCAAUUACACAAGGUGGGAGCAGUACACAAAUUCAAGCUGAGUUUGGUAUUUAGGCUAAUCGAUGCAAAUAUUAGAUGAAUCUUAUGUCGAGAUAUGAAUCUAAAAAUCUGGAAGUGGUUUUAUUAAAAUGGCUUAUAAAAUUUUGAGAAUAAUAAAUGUAAUUAAGUAUUGUUGUACUGGUAGGCUAAAACCGAGAGGUUCAUGCCGAGAACUACAUAGUAAAACAACUAAGAGAUGUUAGGUUAAAACCGAGAGGUUUAGACCGAAAGCGAAGAAGACAAAAGAAUAAAACAAAAAUAUAAAUAUUAUAAGAGCCCAAUUAGAUAAAAACUAGCAAGAGGGGUGCACAAAUAAUAAAAAAGGUGCAGAAAGAAAGCCUAAGAGUAAAGGGGAAAACCCAUUAAAGAAACCCUAUAAAUAGGAGUUCAGAGAUAGAAAGAGGUAAGAGUGAUUUUAUCUGAUGAAUAUUAAACCUUUUCUGACUUUGGCAUCGGAGCGACUUGCAGGUACCCCCCACCUGUUGUGAGGAGAAGCCGAGAGCACCAGCCGAAAGCACCAGCCGAGAGCACCAGCCGAGAGGAGAAGCCGAGAGCACCAGCCGAAAGCACCAGCCGAGAGGAGAAGCCAAGAGUUCCCAUCAAGGAGAGAAAUCAAGUACCCAGCCCAAGAUAGUAUUCAACCCAAGAUAGUAUUCAGUCCAAGAUUGAAGGAUUAGUCUUGUUAACCUAUUUCGAGUGUUCUUGGUCCCUGUUGUAAGAACAUUUUGGCGCCCACCGUGGGGCCGAGGGUCAAUUGAGAAGGGUUAAAGACAAGAUGAGUCAAGGAGGAGAACAAGGUGGAGAUCGGGAAGACAAUGUUAACAUGCCAAUGGCAAUGUUGGUCCAAUUACAAAAAGAAUUCGAGAUGUUAAAAAAGAAUAAUGAAGAAGAAUUGAGUAUGUUGAGAGCCGAAAACGCACACAUGAGGAGAAAGUUACAAGAGGAAACGGUUUUGAAUUCAUCUUUCGAAACUGUUCAACCUGGGAUACAAGUGAAUGAAAGGCUAUAUCACAACGAAAGUUCCCAAACCAGAAGAAGAUGGCUUGAAAACUCUAGGGUUUGUGCAGGGACAUCUUCUAGAAAACAUCUGUUUUAUGAUGUUAUAAUCGAUACUCCGUUGCCUGACAAUUGGAAGAACUUGACCAUUGACAAAUAUGAUGGGAGUACGGACCCUGAUGAGCAUAUUGCAAUAUAUACUACUCAAAUCAGCUUGUAUACAUGGAAUGAUGCUGUUAUGUGCAGAGUAUUUCCUACAACUCUGAAAGGGGCAGCAUUGAGUUGGUUUACACGCCUCCCACCUUUGAGUAUAGAUUGUUUUGAUACGUUGAUAGAAAAGUUCGGCGCUCAAUUUGCAACUAGUCGUCCUCAUCAUUUAACGUCAAUCGCCUUAGUGAACAUAAGACAAGAGAAAGGAGAGUCCUUAAGAAUGUUCAUGGAACGUUUUGGAAAGGUUGCUUUGGGAAUCCGAAAUCUUAGCCCAGAGGUCACCAUGCAUCAUAUGAUAACGGCAUUAAAACCGAGACCGUUUGCCGAUAGUCUUUGCAAGAAACCUGCGAUCAAUUUGGAUGAACUAAGGCAACGAGCAUCAAAAUUUAUGCAAAUGGAAGAAUUAAGGGAGUUUCGAAACCAAGUAAGGGUUGAUGGAGGUGAGAAGAGGGUGAUAGAAAGAGAACACCCACCUGCUGCAAGAGGAGCCCGAGAAGAAUUCAGAAGCCGAAAAUUCCAACAAUACACACCUUUAAAUGCAAACAGAGCGAGAGUUUUACAAGAAGCUAUGGCAGCAGAAAUAAUACCACCACCAAGAAAAGCACGAACACCAGGAAGAGCAGAUCAUACCAAGCAUUGCGAGUAUCACAAAAAUCAUGGCCAUCAUACAGAAGAAUGCAUCGGGUUGAAGGAUAGAAUAGAAGAAUUAAUUCAAGCUGGGCAGUUGAAACGCUUCGUCCAAGGAGGAAAUGCGAGAAUAAGGUUAAGUCCUGAGAGAGGAUCGAGAGGGGGAGAAGUGGGCCAGAGAAGAGUGGAAAGAUUUGAAAGAAGAGAUGAAAAAAGAGUUGAAAAAAGAAAUGAUAGAAGAGAUGGGAGGCCAGAAAGAAGAAGUGAUAGGGAUCAUCAAAACACUCAAUCAGUAAGGCGGAGUAGGGAACGAAGUCUGGGUAGGCCGGUCAGAGGAUUUAUAAACACAAUUUCAGGAGGUUUUUCAGGAAAGGAAUCCUCAUCAGCAAGAAAACAACAUUGGAGAAGUAUCAGAACCAUUAAUCAUAUUUUCAAAAGAAGAACCUUGCCACCAAUGCUUUUCACAGAUGAAUAUUUUCAAGAGAUUGAUCCCGAUCACGACGAUCCUAUGGUGAUAACGGUAGAAAUAGCCGAAUACGCCGUUAUGAAAACCUUAGUUGAUCAGGGGAGUUCAGUUGAUAUUUUGUUUUGGGAUACUUUCAAAAGAUUACAUCUAAGAGAAGAAGAUAUUGUACCUUUCCGAGAACAGAUCAUUGGCUUUUCGGGAGAAAGAGUUAAUACUAAGGGGUACAUUGAUUUGAUGACCACAUUUGGAAGAGGUAAUAAAACUAAAAAGAUCAAAAUCAGAUAUUUGGUGGUGGAUGCUACUACAUCGUAUAAUGUGUUAUUAGGACGAUCCUCUUUGAAUAAACUGGGAGAGCAAUAGUUUCAACACCGCAUUUGGCUAUGAAGUUCCCAACAGAAAAGGGUGAGAUAGCAACGGUCUAUGUCAAUCAAAAAGAUGCUCGGGAAUGUUAUGCAGCAGGUUUAAAGAUGAAUUUAAGAGCAAACCAUGAUACUGAAAGAAUGGUGGCAAUGGCCAAUUUCGACCCAAGAAUAAAUGACGAAAGGAUAGAACCAAAAGAAGAGACCACAACUGUGGUAUUGGGUCAAGACGAGAAGCAAAGCACUUAUGUAAGUGGAAGUUUGCCCAAAGAAUUGUUGAGUAAAUUCAUCACAGUGUUACGUAACAACAAAGAUUUGUUUGCUUGGAAACCAUCCGAUAUACCUGGGAUUGAUCCGAAAGUAGUUUGUCAUAAAUUGUCUGUAUGUCGAGAAGCAAGACCGGUGUCUCAAAAAAGAAGAAAGUUGGGAGAAGAAAGACGAAAAGCAGCAAUGGAAGAAACUGAGAAGUUAAUGCAAGUUGGUUUCAUAAAAGAGGCUCAAUACACAACAUGGUUAUCCAAUGUAGUGCUUGUUAAAAAACCAAAUGGAAAGUAGAGAAUGUGUACAGACUAUACAGACUUAAACAAAGUUUGUCCGAAAGAUACAUACCCAUUACCCAACAUAGACCGAUUGGUGGAUGGGGCGUCUGGACAAGAGAUGAUGAGUUUUCUUGAUGCCUAUUCGGGGUAUAAUCAAAUACAAAUGUAUGAGCCAGAUGUUCCAAAAACGGCUUUCACCACAGAUACCGCGAAUUAUUGUUAUAAAGUCAUGCCUUUUGGUUUGAAGAAUGCUGGAGCAACAUAUCAAAGGUUGAUGGACAAGGUGUUCAAGGAUCAGAUCGGAAAGAACAUGGAGGUAUAUGUUGAUGAUAUGGUUGUGAAAUCAGGGGAGAUAGAGAAACACCUGGAAGACCUUGAGGAGGUGUUUGCACAGAUAAGAAAAUACAAAAUUCGGCUUAAUCCAGAAAAAUGCGUUUUUGGGGUGAGAGGUGGAAAAUUUCUGGGUUUCAUGUUGACAAACAGAGGCAUUGAAGCAAACCCUGACAAGUGCGAAGCAAUAAUGAAGAUGGGAAGUCCAAAGAAUUUGAAGGAGGUACAAAGACUAGUGGGAAAACUUAACUCAUUAUCAAGAUUUCUACCAAUUCUGGCCGAAAAAACCAAACCAAUAGUAAACUUGCUAAAAAAAUCCGAAACCUUUGAGUGGGAUGAGCGAUGUGAGCAAGCCUUUUCUCAAAUCAAAACUAUAGUGGCCGAACCACCAAUCUUGGUUAAACCAGUGUUAACCCAACCUAUCAUAGUCUACCUAGCAACCUCAACUGAAGCCAUAGGAGCGGCCUUGAUACAAGAAACCCCAGAGCAAAAACCAAUAUAUUUUGUGAGUAGAUCCCUACAGAGUGCCGAAACCAGAUAUCCCAAGAUUGAAAAAGUUGCCUUAACCCUGGUGUAUGCUGCGAGACGUCUUCGACCAUAUUUUCAGAAUUAUUAGAUAAUUGUGAGAACAGAUUAUCCAAUAUCCAAAAUUUUGAUAAAACCAGAACUUGCAGGUAGGAUGGUGACAUGGUCGAUGGAGCUAUCAGAAUAUGGAAUCAAGUAUGAGCCAAGAGGACCUAUCAAAGCCCAAUCCCUUGCGGAUUUUAUUAUUCAAAUGCUGACAACAACACAGCAGGAGCAAUGGACAUUGUAUGUAGAUGGCGCAUCAAGCAAAAGAGGCAGCGGAGCAGGAAUAGUGCUUGAAGGACCAGAUAACUUCCAAGUGGAGAUGGCGUUAAGAUUUGAGUUCAGAACAUCCAACAACCAAGCUGAAUAUGAAGCUCUUGUUGCAGGGUUACUAUUAGCCAGAGACAUGGGAGUUGAAAAUGUCAUUUGCAAAAGUGACUCUCAACUUUCGGUGGGACAGGUGCAGGGACAGUAUCAGAUUUGGGAAUCAAGUCAACAAGCACGUCAGUUGAGCAUCCACAAACAAAUGGACAAGCAGAAGCCGCAAACAAGGUUAUUCUCGGACAGUUAAAGAAGCGGUUAGGAAGUGCUAAAGGUCUAUGGGCUGAGAAGUUGCCAGAAAUAUUAUGGGCAUACAGGUGCACACCACAAACAUCAACAUGAGAAACACCAUUCAAUCUCACGUAUGGAACAGAUGCAAUGUUACCAGUAGAAGUUACUGAACCAACACUACGAAGGCAAAUGGAAGAUUGGAAUAUCAACAAUGAAUGCUUAAGAACUGACCUUGAUCUUAUUGAAGAACUCAGAGAACGAGCAAAAAUAAAGGAAGCAGCAGUAAAAAGAAGGGCAAUGAAGAGGUUUAAUGCAAAAGUAAAGUUCAGGGAUUUUAAGGAAGGGGAUUUGGUCUGGAGAAUGCGCACUGAUGCUCGGAAAGAUCCACGACAUGGAAAGUUGGCAUCCAACUGGGAAGGACCAUUCAGGAUAAUGGAAAACUUACACAACAGAGCUUAUAGAUUAGAAACUCUAGAAGAAAAAGUGAUACCAAAUACAUGGAAUGCGAGUCAUUUAAAGUUCUAUUUUAGUUGAAACAGAAGAUGUAAGCCAAAAACUUUUGUAUGCAUACUUAUCAUCUAAUCAAGAAGAAUUAUCAAGUAACAUCAUCUUAUUAGACUUUCAUUCUUUUCUUUUCGGUCUUGGAUGUUUUCACUACAAGUGAAAUCCCUCCCGAAACAAUACUUACUACUUUUCGGUCUUGGAUGCUUUUCACUUCAGGUGAAAUCCCUCCCGACAAAAUUAUUGACAUAAUUCUUUUCGGUCCUGGAUGCUUUCACUCCAGGUGAAAUCCCUCCCGAAAAAAACGGUCUUUUCGAUUCUUUCUUCAAUUAGCUCACAAGACAUCUUCAAGCAAUGGAUAUAAAACCGAGAGAAUCACAGCAUCUAAUUCAAACCUCGGCAACUAAAGGCAAGAGUUAGAUCUAUCCAAAAUAAAAUAAAGGUCAAGCCCCAAGCUGGUCCACGUUUUUGGUUAAUCUCAUAACAAAAUUGCAGAGUAGGAAAAUUCUCCACUUUGCACUAAAAAAUAAAAGCCGAAAAGUAGUUUUUUGGUUUUUACAUAAUAAAAACCGAAAAAUAGUUACGGUUUUCAAGUAAUAAAAACCAACAGAUACACAUGUUACUUUAAAAGUGGUACAAACCGAAAGGUAGCAAUUAUUCCAAGGCAAUAAAAACCGAAAGAUAAACUUAUUGCUUGAAGGUAAUAAAAACCGAAUAGUAAUCUUGUUACAUUUGUAAUUUAACAUUUAAAGCAUUUAACUAAAAUAACCGAAAGCACAAUCCCAAUAACGUUCGACCGAAAGGUUUAUCAUACAACCGAAAGGACAAAACCGAGAGGUUCUGAUAACAUUCAGUACAGAGCCAAAAGUAAGAGUCAACAUAAUAUCUAGUGAAUAACAAACAAUAACUCAAGGGGAAUAAUAUUCUUUAAUUUCUGAUAAGAUUCCAAGGGGAGAUUACAAAAAGGACGCAAACUUCCAUAUAUAAGAUCAACAUUUCAAAAUCAAAUCAGCCUUGUCAUGUAAACCGAGAAACUAUAAACAAAACAUUAACAUCUAUAUCCUCAUAAUUUUCGAUAUUGAUAUCUUCGGCAUCAUUAUCCGGAAUCUCAUUAACAGGAACUAAUUCACCAUUAUAAAAAUCCUUCUUAACAUCAAAAUUCCCUUCAUCAAUAGGAAUCUUGUAAAAAUAUUUUGCUUGUUGAAGAGCCUUCUCAAAACCCAAUUUAUGUUGUUCAAAGAUAAAGCUUUCGGCUUAAAAAACGUUAGUCCUCAGCUGAUUUAUCUCCUCAUCCAUAACUUUGAUGGUGUUUUUGUCGGAAUCAUUCACAGAAGAUAAUGCCAAUACCUUUUCGUUCAAGACUUGAUUUUCUUUGCACAGUCGAACAUUCUCUUCGCUAGAUUUCAAGUUCUCAUUCUCCAAAUCAAAAAUUUUCUUCCCAAGACCUUCUAUUUCGAUUUCUCGUUCUUUUUUCUGCUUUUUAAUCUCUUUUAACUGCACAGAUAAAGAGCUCAUUUUUUCUUUAUACUCAGCAAAAUCAUUCUUCAAUUUGUCAAACUCAGAUAAAGCCACACAGUUUCCAUUCUUCUCCUUCAUCAUCUUUCCAAUCAAAAGAUUUCUGCUUGACAACUCAAUAACAGAAUCGGCCAAAGAAGCAGCAUCCAUAGUCUUCAGCAUGUUGUAAGACGAUUCACCAAAAGACGUCUGAACAAACUUCGCAUAUUUAGUUGUAGCACUAAAUAUCGUCUCCGAGAGAGGUUCGGAAGAAACAUUUUCACCAUGGCGAUGGCGCCGAGAAGACGAAUGCGACCUCUUGCUAUUUCUAUCACGUUUUUUCGAUUUCUUUGAAGGACCAGCAGCCUCAACAUUACUUACCGGUUCAACCACUUCAACAUUCACAACAGGUUCCACGACUUCUUCCACCACAGGAUUCACCACACUUUCACGACGGGGAGUUACAUCACCCACCUUGUUCAGCAAUUUCGAAAAAUACGAUCGAGCUUUCGGAUUAGUGCUUGCCAUCAAAGCUGAAAAUCAAUAAAACAUUUAGCUAAGUUAAAAAACUCAUCCUAUAAAGCGCGAAAAUGUGGAACAACCACGUACCAAUCAGAUCUUCUCGAGGAUUUGGUGAAGUGUACAGUUGUAGCAAGGCGCGAGUGGGAACCUGGUACGAGAGCCGACUAAAAACUUCGAUAACAUGACGAUCGGCCGCACCCAUUAAAUGAAACGAGAUUGAGUUAAACUUCACAGGAUCUUUUGUCCAGUACAGAGGAAACCUUGGAGAAUCUCCAUAAAAAAAAUACUCUCUUCCUACAGGCUCUAUUAGAAUUUUAAAAAAACUCCCCUUAAAAUCUUUGUAUGAUGACGUAAAAGGUUUAAGGAAACAAACAUUGGAUUUACUAAUAAGGGAUAACCACCCUGGCCGCUUCCCAGGCCGAGAGCUAUAAUAGUACAAGAAGGAAGCAGGACUGGGAGAAAGCGAUAAUAAUUUACACAAAAUGCUAAAUGCUUGCAUCGCAGCCCAACCAUUCGGAUGGAGCUGAGUAGGCGCAACAUUAAGAAAGUUAAGAACGCCUAUUUGAAAGUUGUUCAAAGGCAACCGAAUAUGAAGAUCUCUAAAAAAGCAAGCAUAAAAAUAAAAAAAUUCAUAACUAUCACCCUCUCGGCCAUGACAAACAUUAUCGGCAUCUCCAACACGCCGAAAAGAAAUAAUAUCAUUUUCAAUAUCAGAAUAAUAAAUCUGAGAAUGGGAAAGGAAACUACGAAGUUCGAUAGCAGAACGGUAUUUCGACAAAUACUCUCGGACUUUAGGAUUAACCCAUUGGUAACCUGGACGAAGAUUUUUCUGAGGCAAUACAAUGUCGAAUUCUUGAGGAGCAUCAACAGUCGGUGCUCCAUUUGAAUCAUUCAUACAAGAAGGGGUAGCAGAUGAAGACUUCGAGUCUCGAUGAUCCUCUUCUCGCACCACUCGCACAGUUGAUUCACCACCCGCGCUUGAAAAAUCAUCAGAAGCAGAAAAACUUGAAAUAGACAUUACCUUUGCAAGAACUGAUUACAGAUUGAAAAUAAGCUUCUUUUUUCAAUACGCAACGAAACACAUAUUCGUAAAAGUUUGAAAGAAGAACCUAUUUAUAACCCAAAAAUACACCCUAGAAUUCGAAACGUUGCAAGCAAUCUGAAACCGUUCAAAAAUUUAUAAUCUAACGGUUAAGACAACAAAUUCACGUCAAAUCAACUUAACUCAGCAAGCUAAAGCACAAAAACCGAGGCAUUCAAUAUCAAAUCAAAUCAAAUGUCAAAUUUACUAUAUUUUAUUAAGACACGAAUAUUUCUUAAAACUUAAAAUAUUUCUGUCUUGGGGGGCUAGUGUACUGGUAGGCUAGAAUCGAGAGGUUCAUGCCGAGAACUACAUAGUAAAACAACUAAGAGAUGUUAGGUUAAAACCGAGAGGUUUAGACCGAAAGCGAAGAAGACAAAAGAAUAAAACAAAAAUAUAAAUAUUAUAAGAGCCCAAUUAGAUAAAAACUAGCAAGAGAGGUGCACAAAUAAUAAAAAAGGUGCAGAAAGAAAGCCCAAGAGUAAAGGGGAAAGCCCAUUAAAGAAACCCUAUAAAUAGGAGUUCAGAGAUAGAAAGAGGUAAGAGUGAUUUUAUCUGAUGAAUAUUAAACCUUUUCUGACUUUGGCAUCGGAGCGACUUGCAGGUACCCCCCACCUGUUGUGAGGAGAAGCCGAGAGCACCAGCCGAGAGCACCAGCCGAGAGCACCAGCCGAAAGCACCAGCUGAGAGGAGAAGCCAAGAGUUCCCAUCAAGGAGAGAAAUCAAGUACCCAGCCCAAGAUAGUAUUCAGCCCAAGAUUGAAGGAUUAGUCUUGUUAACCUAUUUCGAGUGUUCUUGGUCCCUGUUAUAACAACAAUUGUAAUUAUUAUUUUAUUAGAUGAUUUUUAUAUUUAUAGAUGUAUGUACUAUUAUAUAUAAAUUUGUUAUAUAAAGAAUGCUAAAAUUAUAACUUUUUAUAUAUAAAUGAAGAGUAGUUGGUUGGUGGUAAACAUUUAAUAAAAUAAAUGUUAUAUUAGUGAUUUUGGCUAUCACUAAGGUUUCUACCACAAUGGGCAUGCUCUAACUUUCCUCUUGUGUUUUAUAUAUAAACAGUUAUAUAUAGUCUCUGUUCGAGGCUAAUAAUUAUAUAAUACACUAGAAUGGAAAAGGCGAAGAGUUGGAUAAUUUAUUAGGAGCUAGCAUGGUUGUAUGGCCUGAUGAGAAUGCGUCCCUGCUUCUAAUCUUUUUCUUUCAACUUCAACAUUGUCACUUAUAGCACCAAUUAUUCAGCUAGCUAGUACCUUCUUGUGAGUUGUGUGAAUGCUAGACGACAACAUAUAGAAAGGAAAAAGUAGCCAAUGAAGGUAAGGACCAAGAACAUUGAACUAGGAAAAAAACAAUGGCAAAGACUAAUAAAGAAGACUUGAUAAAGUUAUUAUGGGAUGCGCCCAUAUAAGUCUUCAUCAUUCGUUUUUCUUCCAUGAGCUAGAGAAGGAUACAAAAUAGUGUAUUGUCAGCAACUACUGCCUGGUUACUAGCCACACACGUCUCUACUUCAUAAACAGAUAAUUCUGUCACUUCAUAUGCCCAUUCACUUGUUCAAAGAUAAACUCUACUGAGUAUUUUUUAUCUAUUCAGAACAAGAUUUUUUUUAAAUUUAGGUAAAUUCACGAUCUGAAUUAAAAUACUUAAAAAAGUAAAUAUAUAUAACUAAUUUAAGCAAAUAAAGAAAAAUAAGUGGUUCAACCUAUUCGACUUGAUGGCAGCAUAUGUAAGUAUUUGGUGGCAAGGAAUUUAUUAACGAAGAACUCAAACUUUCAUUAUUCCAAAUAUUAAGUACACAUGUAAGUAUAGUUAUUAUAACUAAUUACAUUUAACAUUCCGACCAUUUUUCUUAUGUAAAAUACCAAACUCCACCUGAACUUGAACACGGUACCUCGAUCAGCGUCCCUUCGGAUCCUUAAUCUCAGAGAACACAAGCUCUGGGAAUAACCUGUCAGAUUGCUUACUCCCGUAGGUUGCACUGUUCAGGCCACUGCUAUUACUAUAGUCGGAAACAUGCACACUACUAUGGGUACUGCUAAACAUGUUCUCAGUACCACUGUCUUCGUAUUCCCUACCACUUUCCAACACAGCAUUGACAUGGGCACUAUCCUGAAGCUGAAGCUGCAGAACAAACUCCAACACCCCAACCACGUCGUUCAUAGAAGGUCGCUGAGUCCCAUCCUCAACCAAACAGCUCAACGCAACCUCACCAAAUUUACGCAAACAAUGAGCUGCUAUCUGGCCCUUCAGUGCUGGAUCCACAAUCUCACCCAGACACCCCUUCUCAUACCGAUGCUUCGCCCAAUCCACAAGUGACACCUGUGGCUUCUCUACCAUUCGGAGCAAAGGCUGCCUCCCACACAAUACCUCCAACAGCACCACCCCAUACGAGUACACGUCCGACUUCUCCGUCAAACGCUGUCGUUUGUAAUACUCCGGAUCCAAAUACCCAACACUACCUUUCACCUGAGUGCUCACAUGGGUCAUCGAAGAACCCGUGGGCCCAAUUCGAGAUAACCCGAAGUCUGAAACCUUCGCCACCCAUUUUUCAUCCAACAAGAUGUUUGUGCUCUUCACGUCACGGUGAAUGAUCAUUCGUUUCGCACCUGUAUGCAGAUAAUGCAGUCCUCGUGCGGCGCCGAUGCAUAUCUGAAGCCUUUGAUUCCAUGAGAGCGGAGGGUUAUCGGUUCCGUAGAGAUGAUCACAGAGGGUUCCACGGUCCAUAAAAUCGUAAACGAGUAUCAUCUCGUUGCUCUCGUAGCAAUAACCGAUGAGGGAAACAAGAUGGAGAUGACGAAGUUGAGAGAGCAUUUCGAUCUCGUUCAUGAACUCGUUCAGACCUUGCUGAGAACCCGGUUUAAGCCUUUUGAUAGCGACAGGUGUUGAGCCGUCGUCGAUGUAGCCUUUGUACACGUCGCCGAAGCCUCCCACUCCAACGACGAAGAGUUUAUCGAAGUUAUUUGUGGCGGCCCUGAUUUCUGCGAUUGAGAAGUGACGGCAGAGGUUGGUUGGUAGCGAUGAUGAGCCAACCCCGCGAGAAGUUCCGUCUUUUUGGUUGGAACCCUUGUCGAUGGCAACACUAUGCUUGCGUUUGAUGACGAAGAAAACGACUAUAAAGGAGAGUAAAAUGAAAACAAAAACUGCACCAGCGACAGCGAGAAUUAGGGGUCUCCUGGUGCCACUGCUGUUCUUAUUUGGGAUUUGAUUAGGAACCUCUGAGGUUUUAGGAGAAGGGGAUGGAUUUGGUCCAGCGAGAUUACCGGAUGAGUCGUUGAUUUUGAAGAGCUCAAUUGCGUUUAUUUGUGCGUCCCAGCACAAGCUUUUAGGGUUAGGAUGCAUUUUAAGUGAAAGAUUUACCUUGUCCUGAUUGGAGGGCAUGAAAACUGUGUAGUUUCUAACCACAGGUACACCCCUUUGUUUAUCGCUCCAACUGAGGACGUCUGCCCACUCUUCAACCAACCGAUCCUGAAUGUAGAUGAAGAAGGUGAGAUCACCAAGAUUGAUAAUCUCCGGGUUAAGCUGGCAAAAGUGUAACAUUAGCAAGUAGGUGAAACCCAAAUCAACCGGAAGCUGCCAUGUGAGGUUGAACUCCUUGUUCAUAGACCCACUACGUCCCAUAUUCCUCAAGGAUCGGUACACAUCGUCUGGUGCAGUGUAGUUAGGAGCCUUAGUGAAGUUCAGCUUAAUUGCAUUGUUAAAAUGAAAAGAUUCUACACUCGGACUGGUUAAAUAAAUUUUAUCAACAUCCCAUCUCCUAAGCAUACCCGUGUCGUAUGCCGGGGGAAUAUAUCGGUCCGCAACUCUUAACCUGUACAUUGUCUCCAGAGCAAAGCUGUUUUCAAUGGGGAAUGGGUUCAUGCGGCCAGCAGGUUUGGGCAAUCCAUUGAUGUCCACGUCAGGACUGGUGUAGUAGAGAUAAGGGGGCAUUGAAACAAUCUCGAUUCCAUUGAUGAAAGCAUAGGAAUCUGUGGUGCUUGGAAUGAAGGUGAUGUUGAGCUUUUCUCCUUCUUGGAGGUUUAUGCAAUACUCUCUGAAGAUGUUGGAUUGAGUGCGGUCAUUUUGAGAAUCUGCAUGUAGGGAAGCAUUGAAAUGUUGAAGGAGGGUGUAUGGGCCUGCUUUGACUGAGAAAAAGGCUUUGGAGAGAUCAAAGUUUGGGUAUGAGGUGGAGUAGAAGAAAAGGCGAAGGAACUUAGGGCCUGGGGUGACAGGAAAUGAAUAGGUGAACAGGGAGUGAGAGAGACGAGCAUGGUCGUAAGGAGGACCCUGUGGGAUAGAUGGUAUGAGUGGAGGAAGAUCUACUGAGUUAUGGGUUGGAGAGAGGAAUUUGAUGUCUGAAGUCCAAUUCCUCGUAUCAGGGGUGGAGAAGUU
rnacentral:lncRNA from 1 species